UGGGGAAUAUUGCACAAUGGGCGCAAGCCUGAUGCAGCCAUGCCGCGUGUAUGAAGAAGGCCUUCGGGUUGUAAAGUACUUUCAGCGGGGAGGAAGGGAGUAAAGUUAAUACCUUUGCUCAUUGACGUUACCCGCAGAAGAAGCACCGACUAACUCCGUGCCAGCAGCCGCGGUAAUACGGAGGGUGCAAGCGUUAAUCGGAAUUACUGGGGGUAAAGCGCACGCAGGCGGUUUGUUAUGUCAGAUGUGAAAUCCCCGGGCUCAACCUGGGAACGGCAUCCGAAAGUAGUAAGCUUGAGUCUCGUAGAAGGGGGUAGAAUUCCAGGUGUAGCGGUGAAAUGCGUAGAGAUCUGGAGGAAUACCGGUGGCGAAGGCGGCCCCCUGGACGAAGACUGACGAUCAGGUGCGAAAGCGGGGGGAGCAAACAGG
rnacentral:rRNA from 1 species